AAAUAUAAAAAAGGUAAGGAAGAAGGGAUAGAAGAAUGGGUAGCGAGAAAAGUGGGUGAGAGAGGAAGUGAAGAGAGUUCUGGAAGCGGCGAAUGGAGGAAGGAAGAAACAUGUGGAGAGUAAAACGCAACCUGAAAAUAAGCAAAGAGAUUAUCAUUCUGUUCAAUGAUGUUUCCUAAUGUAGUUUUCAAUCUGAAUCUUCUUCCACGCUCUCUUCGCUGCUCGCCUUCUCGCACUUCCUCUCUCUCUCUCGCCAAAACCCUUGGGCCUCGUGAUGAUUACCUGAAGGUUCUACAAUCUUCCAUUUCAAUAUUUCAAUUUUUUUAUUUGCAAGCUCCAGGAUGUAAGCUUGAUUUGAAACUUUUACAUUCAGGGUUUUGAAACCUAGUUUUCAUUGAAAAAUUCGAGUGGGUGUUGCGUUGUGGUUUUCAAAAUCCGUUUGUCUACUCUGUUGUUGCUAAUGUUGACAAAGUAGCAAUUGUUUGAUGUGUGGUUAUGAAUAUUCGCGUUACCUUUUUGUUUUUGGAAUUUGGGUUCUAUGGAAUUAUAAGCAAACAGUCUCAACAAUUUGAGAAUGACCAGAGUUGGGUUCCGAAGUUGGAUUCUUUUGGUUUUGUCCAAUAGUAAUGGAGUUGAGAGGAACAUUAACACAAAGAUUCGUUUUAUUUCAACUGGAUCCUAACUUCUUGUCAUUUUCCAUUGUUUAUGCUAUGUCAUUUCUUUUAUGUGGCUUUAAUAUAGAUAAUGGGAUUGUUGAUGUCACAUCAGUGAACUGGAUGAAUUCUGUUGUUUUAGUUUAAAAUGAAGUGAGAUUUAAAAAAUUGAUGUCAGUAUAGUUAUGUUUAUGGUAGACAGUAGCAGCUAUAACUUGUGGAAUAGCCUGAAAUGCUUUGACUUAGUUCAUUUGGUGACCAAGGUUAGUGUCAAUCUGCCACUUGCCAUGGCACUCCAGCAGUGAAGGAAAAAGAAUUAGUAACUAUGGUUAAAUAAUUUAACUAUAAAUUUAAAGAGGGGGUUUAAGUUUUAGAAAGAGCGUUUUCUUCUGAUUAGUUUCACGCUUAUUCUAUUUUCACGUACGUGCUAGUGCUAGUGCUUUAGUGCUUGAAGAAUUUGAGAGAAAAGGAAAUCACCUCAAGGUCUUGCAUCCAUCGUCUAGUGCAUAUCUAGGCACCAUUUUAGGCGUGCGAAGUGUUGCUGAGGUCGAGAGUAAAAGACAACUCUCCGAGUCUCUCAUGUUAGGCAUGGGAUGAUUAUCGUCGGGUGUGAAAUGACUCUCAUUGGGCGCAAAAGCUCUAGGGGGUUGUUGUGGCGCUUCCAUCGAGUGUAGAUGCUACAAGGGCUCUCUGUUGUGUUUUUGUUGGACGUGAGUUUGGUCACGUUGGGCAUGGUCUAGAUAGAGACCAACGUUGUCCUUUGGAGAAUCUUUAGUAAUGAGGUAUUAUGCAGAAAAAUAGUCUCAAUGGGGUUGGGUUUCCAGGGAAAGAAUAAAAGACAUGGCUCUUGAUUUUUGUAAAACAUUGGCUGCAGAAGUUCAAAGAUAGAAGAUUGAUCUAUUGACGUACAAAAUACAAAUUAAGCACUCACAAUUUGUUGCUGCAAUAUCUGGUAUUAUCUUGGAUCCUAAAGUGAUUCAAGAGUGCAAAAGAAAAGUUGGAAAAAGUUGUUGGAAAUUAAUGAGGGAUCGUAUCAAAGAUCAAGUAUUGUGGAAAACAUAGGAAAAGAGUAUUUAAUAAAGGGGAUAAAGAAUGACAAUGCAUGAUGGAUGGGAUUAGUACAACAUGCAAGAGGGUGAGUAGUUCACAGAGGGCAUCUGCCAACUAUAUUAUCUAUGAACAUGUGACUAAAGAAAAAACAUCAUCAAACUCAUAGGGAAAUGAAUAAAACACAACUUUUCCUUCCUAUAGUAUGUUGAAGUUGUUCGUUUCUUCUCUUAUUUUUGUUUUGUUGAAUUUGGAGUUAUAUUAUCUUGUGUUGUCAAAGAAUAAUGAUAUUCUUAAAAACAAAAGCGCGAUGGAUUUCAUGUUC